UGGCCAAACAAAAUAUUUUGAAAAUCAAAAAAUAACCUCCUUAAAGUACCGCCCGGAUAAAAUUUCCUUUCAGAAAAGAUACUACACCUGAAAAUCAGGCAAGAUUUCUGGUAGAAAAGUUGUUUACCGAUUAAAAAUAAAAGAAAGAAAAUAAAUAUCACUGUUAAAACAGUACAUUCCUAGCUUCACUAUGAAUCUAAAACCAAUGUUCCACAUUGUAUAAUGUACCCUAUAGGGUCCUUUUUUGUGUGCAAAUUUGGUUUCCUAAUAAGUAAUAAUUGACAAUUA